UAGCCAAAUAACGGCUGCAAUCCAUUUAUAGCUGCUGUGUUUCGCGCGAACAGCGAAAAGAAGGCGAAGUUCGUGGCGUUGUGUAGUGGGCCGCGGGAGUUGAAAUACAAGACCAGGGCAACUGGUAGGUGUUCUGUGACCAGGGGGCGAGCAAAAAUCAUGGAUGGACAGUGCUGCGAGCGUACCGAAAGAUGUCUACGCGCCAUCGACAAAGCUUCCAAAGACCUUUGCGAGAAGUUCAGGCAGCGGUGCUUGCACGCGCUUCAACCAGCUGAGCUUGAAAAGUGCUGGAAUAGAGAAGAGCUCGUUGGAGAAGUGCGUUAAUAGCCUCACGGAUCAGCUUCUGACGCACAUGAACGCAGAAAGCAAGGCUAUCAUCGACGACCUGAAUCUGGACGAGAAGUUUCAAAAGUCUGAGCCAGUUGAUCGAAGAGCAAGAAGAAUACAAAGGGACACCUGCGUGGCGGCCUUCUGGAAAUCCGGAUGAGGAUAUCCAAGAUCAUUUACGGCAAUUAUACGCGAAAUACGUAAAGGACAUGACUGCCGCACUGAAGGAAAGCAAAGAGAAAACUAAUGUGUUAGAAGCACAAGUUGCCGAAGGAAACAAGGAGCUGCAAAGAAUCGGUGCUGAAAUAGACAUCACGCUGGCCAAGUUGGAAAAGCUACAGCUGGCAAACAGGAGGAGGAAGACUGAUGCCCAUGAAGGAUGGCAUGACACAAGCUGAGACUAAGAGGAAAGAAAAGGCAUAUUUUUUAAAGUGCACUGCUUGUGGUAAUUAUUACAUUCAGACUUGCGCUGCACUAGUGCACAUAUUUG